CGCUGUGCUAUCUGGCUGCAACAUCUGUCACCCCAUUGAUCGUCAGUGUUGGUUUGGCUGAUCCUGCUGGCUAGGCAGGUGUCCCCUUCCUCCCUCACCACUCCGAGUGUGUCCCUCCUGAAGCUGUGUGCUCGGUCAAAGAGGACGGCCUUCCCCGAACAGAGAUGGAUUCGUCUUUGGUUGAGGGUAUACGAGUAGCUGCACUCCCCUGCUAAAACCUCCAAACAAACUCUCCAGGUCCCAUGUACAACCCAUGUAUAUUUCCCAUGUAUGUGCCUUGCAUAAAUGUCCUUGUGC
rnacentral:snRNA from 1 species